GAUGAACGCUGGCGGCGUGCCUAAUACAUACAAGUCGAGCGAAUGGAUUAAGAGCUUGCUCUUAUGAAGUUAGCGGCGGACGGGUGAGUAACACGUGGGUAACCUGCCCAUAAGACUGGGAUAACUCCGGGAAACCGGGGCUAAUACCGGAUAACAUUUUGAACCGCAUGGUUCGAAAUCGAAAGGCGGCUUCGGCUGUCACUUAUGGAUGGACCCGCGUCGCAUUAGCUAGUUGGUGAGGUAACGGCUCACCAAGGCAACGCUGCGUAGCCGACCUGAGAGGGGGAUCGGCCACACUGGGACUGAGACACGGCCCAGACUCCUACGGGAGGCAGCAGUAGGGAAUCUUCCGCAAUGGACGAAAGUCUGACGGAGCAACGCCGCGUGAGUGAUGAAGGCUUUCGGGUCGUAAAACUCUGUUGUUAGGGAAGAACAAGUGCUAGUUGAAUAAGCUGGCACCUUGACGGUACCUAACCAGAAAGCCACGGCUAACUACGUGCCAGCCGCCGCAGUAA
rnacentral:rRNA from 1 species